rnacentral:misc_RNA from 1 species
GCCCCUUUGAGGACUCUCUUCCAUGAUGGGUUAUGGUAGCUACAAGUUCAUAUUUUCUACCCUCUUUCGAUGAUGAGACAAGAAGAUCACGGUUUAAAACCAGCUCAAGUGGGAAGUGCACAGCCUUAUUCAACUUGGUACUUCCAUGGCUUCCAUAGCCAAAACGCUUCAGGUGUAAUAUCAUUAUCUUUGACUGUUUCUGUAUCUUCACAGAUUUGCUAGCAGCAACAACACCAGCCUUCCCAGCAGCUGAUGGUCGGUACCCUUCAAGAGUUUCUGGUGCCG